rnacentral:rRNA from 1 species
GACGAACGCUGGCGGCGUGCUUAACACAUGCAAGUCGAACGGAAAGGCCCUGCUUUUGUGGGGUGCUCGAGUGGCGAACGGGUGAGUAACACGUGAGUAACCUGCCCUUGACUUUGGGAGAACUUCAGGAAACUGGGGCUAAUACCGGAUAGGAGCUCCUGCUGCAUGGUGGGGGUUGGAAAGUUUCGGCGGUUGGGGAUGGACUCGCGGCUUAUCAGCUUGUUGGUGGGGUAGUGGCUUACCAAGGCUUUGACGGGUAGCCGGCCUGAGAGGAUGGCCGGCCACAUUGGGACUGAGAUACGGCCCAGACUCCUACGGGAGGCAGCAGUGGGGAAUAUUGCACAAUGGGCGGAAGCCUGAUGCAGCAACGCCGCGUGCGGGAUGACGGCCUUCGGGUUGUAAACCGCUUUCGCCUGUGACGAAGCGUGAGUGACGGUAAUGGGUAAAGAAGCACCGGCUAACUACGUG